rnacentral:lncRNA from 1 species
AACUAGUUGCAGCCUCCCAGCAUAUGACAGUUUCUUGGUAGUCCAUGAUGUGAUCCUAGCAGUGAUCUUUUCCACUAAUGGUUGCCACUGAAUCAAUGACAUCUUCUUGGUGGAUAGAGGAAUGCCUAGGUAUUUGAAAGGUAAUUCUCCAUGGCAUAGCCAAGAUGACCAGUAAUCUGCUGCUGUACUUCCUGCUUAACCCCUCAAAAGUAUACUGAGCUUUUGCCCAGAUUAGCUUUCAGUCCCGAGGCUUCAGUGAAUUCGGAAAAGUACUGGAACAUGGUAAUGACAGACUUGAGUUUUCCUUUAGCAAAUAAGAG